rnacentral:lncRNA from 1 species
AAUAACCACAUCUAUGCUUGUUGCUUGCUCUACAGAAAACAAGAACAACACACUGAAAGUGAAGAUCAAGUAGUAAGGUUUUACGUUCAUUGCCUCGUGAUCUUGUUUAUCAGUAUUCAGUUAGAUGUCCAAGUGUAAGAUUUCCCUAAAGCUUUUCUGCUCGAUUUUAAACUAUUAAUUUAUUUCGUUGUUAAACCUUUUAGGAAACUAAUUGACAAUAACCUUUCAAGUCAAUUAGAAUUAAUUAUUGAGAAUUAUUCCUCCAAGAAUGCAGAUGGAAAUUCAAGUGAUGGUGAUGAAAUCUUUCUUCUUUGAAACAUUCAACAACUGCAGUACUUAACGUUCCCCCGCCGCUAAGGUUCCAAUUUGAUUCAUUGAUUAUUCUUCUCUUGAUGAUGCAAGCUUUAAUAAAUUUAAAAUUAAACUUUCUAUAUCUAUAAUGCAAUCAAUCAGGCAUUAACGUACAAAUUUAAUAUUGCUGGAUCUUACACUUGAGUUUGCAUACUUAGUCAGUGACUUGGACAUUGAGUACCAUUAGGAAAUUCAGAUCUCAUUACCGAAAUGAUCUCAUGGUGUUUCCUUUGACAGUUGACAUUUUCAUAAUAACUGAAUAUUUUUUCGAGUCUGUCUCUUCCUUUUUUUAUUUGAUAAUCAACACACUCGGUUAAAUACCAUUAGACCAAGAGGUCACUGACAAAAUGCCGUAGCUCUCAGUUGAAAUAAUCUUCAAUACCUUGAGCAGAUAUUAUAUGAGGAAACUACCUACUGAGAUCCAUUGUCCACAGCAUUGAUAGUGAUAUGAAUUGUCACAAUUUUCACUUUUUUUUUGUCUCUUGUAUUGUCUGGUAGAGAAGUAUAUAACCCAAAAAUAGUCAAAACCAGCCCUUUUCUUUGAUUUGAAUUCUUUAUUAAUCUAGAUUGUAGUAGAUCUCCAUACUGUUAUUAUGGUCAAUGUGUUGAGUGUUGACUUCCUAAAGGCUAGCAUUUGUUAAAGCACAGUUGUAUGGAAAUGGGCUUUCUUCAAUCUUUAGCAAAAAAGCUUCAGGCUGAAAUGAUUCUCUGCUGGAGUGCAAGGCAUUAGCAAAUUUAACUAGAUUAAAUUUAAAAACAUAAUAUUAUUGUGUCUGAAUUUUAUGAGAAUUUCACCAGUAAACUGUCAAUCUAUCAUGCUCUCGACUCAGGAUAUAAGGACCGAGCUGAGUCUGUGUUUCAUACCAUAGGAAAACUUCCUGGAAGUUCUAUGUACUUAGAUUUUUUAAAGAACUAUUUUGUUGUCAUGAUGUUAGGCCAUUGCAGUGUAAUGUUUGUAGGAUGUAUCCUCAAUCCAUCCAGGCCAUUAAGUUCAUCGGGAUUGCUUAGUCCAUUUCAACACACUUUACGGACUAAACACAGUCUCGUUUGAUUCCAUAGCUUUGCAGUCUGAAAUACUUGUAGUAGUUCUU